AACAAUUUUACGGUUCUUGAGGAGGUACCAUGAGGUACCACUUUUUCUAUUAUAAAUUUGGUACCUCUUGGUACCUAGGUACCAUGAGGUACCAAAUUUUACACUAAAUUUUUGAUACCUCAUGGUAUCUACUCAAGUACCGUAGAAUUA
rnacentral:misc_RNA from 1 species